rnacentral:lncRNA from 1 species
AUGAAGUUCAAUCGCUUGGUGACCUGGGACCACAGCAAAAACUGCAAACGUCACUUCAAUGCCCCCUCGCAGGUAUGCAGGAAGGUCAUGUCGUCCCUGCUCUCCAAAGAGCUGAGCAGAAAUACAAUGUCUGCUCCAUGCCCAUCUGCAAGGACCACGAGGUCCAGGUGGUUUGAGGACACUACAGAGGUUAACAAAUUGGCAAGUAGUCAAGUUGUACAGAAAGAAAUAUGUCCUCUACAUUGAGCAGGUGCAGUGUGAGAGGGCCAACGGCACCACCAUCCCUGUGGGCCUUCACUUGAGCAAGGUGGCUCUCACCAGGCCAAAACUGGACAAGGAUCAGAAAAAAUUCUUGAAUGCAAAGCCAAGUCUUGACAAGUUGGAAAAGAGACAGGCAAAUAUAAGGAAGAACUUAUUGAGAAAAUGCAGGAAUGA